rnacentral:rRNA from 1 species
UACGUAGGGGGCAAGCGUUGUCCGGAAUUAUUGGGCGUAAAGAGCGUGUAGGCUGUUCGAUAAGUUUGCUGUAAAAGUCAGGGCUCAACCCCUGAAGCCGGUGAAUACUGUCGAGCUAGAGUACGGAAGAGGCGAGUGGAAUUCCUGGUGUAGCGGUGAAAUGCGCAGAUAUCAGGAGGAACACCUAUUGCGAAGGCAGCUCGCUGGGACGUAACUGACGCUGAGACGCGAAAGCGUGGGGAGCAAACAGG